CUGACUUGGAAAGAGAGAUGUUUUGGGGCACAGUGUCAAAGGUCUUACUGAACUUUGGAUAGAUGACAUCAAUGGGUUUUCCCCUGUUUCCUGAUGCUGUUUAGUCAUCAUAGAAGGCUACCAGAAGUUGGGAAACUGGUGAGAUUUGACAUUUGAGAUGUUGUAAUCAAACUGAGAGACCAUUUGAUUUCUGAUGGAGCAGAAAUUCCAUUUUCUCCAAUAACAAGUCCUAGAUCCAAUGAAUUAUUAUAACCUGAAGCAAUUCCAGUUCUGUCACUGAUGCUUGAAUAAUUCUGUGUCCUGAUUUCCCCUCCUGUGCUUUUGAUCAUCUCAUCUACUCAAAAGUGAUUACCAUCUGUCACCUGAAUGUUUUCCCUAGAAAAAGGAGAAAAAAAAAAUCCCUUUUUUUUUUUUUCGGUAUCAGAAUGCAGAUACUGUAUUUUGUUCCAUGUGUCCAAUUAUUAAUGUUUUCCAAAUACUUUAAAGACCUCAGCUCUCACAGAAGAAAUACAAAGCUGUACAAGUCAUCAGUUAAAAAACAAGUAAAAAUA